UCCGUAGGUGAACCUGCGGAAGGAUCAUUAUCAAAACAGCGGACUUCGGUCCUUGCUGCACCCUUGUCUUUUGCGUACCGUAUGUUUCCUCGGCGGGCUUGCCUGCCGGUUGGACAUUAUCAAACCUUUUUGUAGUUGCAAUCAGCGUCAGAAAACAAAUAAUAAUUACAACUUUCAACAACGGAUCUCUUGGUUCUGGCAUCGAUGAAGAACGCAGCGAAAUGCGAAAAGUAGUGUGAAUUGCAGAAUUCAGUGAAUCAUCGAAUCUUUGAACGCACAUUGCGCCCCUUGGUAUUCCAUGGGGCAUGCCUGUUCGAGCGUCAUUUUGUACCCUCAAGCACUGCUUGGUGUUGGGCGUUUGUCCUGCAAAGGACUCGCCUGAAAGCGAUUGGCGGCCAACGUACUGGUGGUAGAGCGCAGCACAAUUUGCGUCUCUCCCCUCUGCGUCGGCGUCCAUGAAGCCUUUUUUCAACGUUUGACCUCGGAUCAGGUAGGGAUACCCGCUGAACUUAA
rnacentral:rRNA from 1 species